CCUACGGGUGGCAGCAGUGGGGGAUAUUGCACAAUGGGGGAAACCCUGAUGCAGCGACGCCGCGUGAGUGAAGAAGUAUUUCGGUAUGUAAAGCUCCAUCAGCAGGGAAGAAAAUGACAGUACCUGACCAAGAAGCCCCGGCGAACUACGUGCCAGCAGCCGGGGGAAUAAGUAGGGGGCAAGCGUAAUCCGGAUUUACUGGGCGUAAAGGGAGCGUAGACGGUUAUGUAAGUCUGGAGGGAAAGCCCGGGGCCCAACCCCGGGACUGCUUUGGAAACUGUGUGACUGGAGUACAGGAGGGGCAGGCGGAAUUCCUGGUGUAGCGGUGAAAUGCGUAGAUAUCAGGAGGAACCCCGGCGGCGAAGGCGGCCUACUGGACUGAAACUGACGUUGAGGCUCGAAAGCGUGGGGAGCGAACAGGAUUAGAUACCCCAGUAGUC
rnacentral:rRNA from 1 species